rnacentral:lncRNA from 1 species
GAUUUUCUUUAAUUAAACUCUGAUUUUUUUGAAUCAAUUGUUCUAAAUUUAACCUUAAGCUUUCAUUUUCAGAAUUUAGUUUAUCUUGUAUUUUAUCACUAGAAUUUCUUUCUUUUGAAAUUUUCAGAUUUAGUUUCUUAAGAUUUUUAUUCUUCAUAGCUAAUUUUCUACAUUCACCAUACAAAUCAUGAAAAGCAUUUAAAAGUUCAUCAUAAG